rnacentral:rRNA from 1 species
UACGGAGAGUGCAAACGUUGCUCGGAAUCAUUGGGCGUAAAGCGCACGUAGGUGGCCUGUUAAGUCGGGUGUGAAAUCCCUGGGCUCAACCCAGGAAGUGCACUCGAAACUGGCGGGCUUGAGUACUGAAGAGGGUCUCGGAAUUCCCGGUGUAGAGGUGAAAUUCGUAGAUAUGGGGAGGAACACCGGUGGCGAAGGCGGCCAUCUGGACGGAUACUGACGCUGAGACGCGAAAGCGUGGGGAGCAAACAGG